rnacentral:tRNA from 1 species
GGGGUUGUAGCUCAUUGGUAGAGCGCUUGCCUUGCACACAUGAGGUCCUGGGUUCAAUCCUCAGCACCA